UCCGAGCCGGCCAGUAAGGCCCUGCGCCCUCCCCGCCUCGCCCCGAGGAUCCACCGCGGCCGCCCAGGCUGCUGGCCUUGUCCUCACGGCUACGGAGAUAAGCCGGCGCUGGUCACACCGCAAAGCCCCUGUUCGCACUGAGACCCCGCUCGGGAUCAUGCGCACAGGCCAGGGCGCAGCAAGCCUUGGAGAAGCUACCUGCACAGCCCAUUCCUUGGGCGAGCUUCGCAUCUUCUGCCUCAGUUUCCUUACCUGUAAAGGGGUGAUCAUAGGACAUCCUUGGUCACACCGUUGUGGGACCCACCUAGGCUAGAGCGCGGUACGCGCCCAGGACAGUGACUGCUGCUGGAAACCGUCGUGGCACUGGGGUCACUUCCCCAAGGAGACAGUGGGCUUCCUGCAAGCAGAGCUGUGCCCAGGACUAUGCCAGCCCAUGACAGGCACUCACCCUGUUUCAACCAGUGAACAAAGGGGAGGAGUAAUUUUUUCAACAAAUGGUGCUGGGAUCUUGCAGGUACCCCCGAUCAUGUGCAAGCUCCUGGAGGGCAGCAUGCCCGGGGAGGGCAGCACCCUAAAGGAACAAUUACCCCUCAGCUGAAAACUACUCUGUUCCUGCAUAACAAAUCUUAGACCAAGACCUGAAAAGAUUCAACCAUUUCCAAGUAACUUAAUUGCAUCCAGGAACAAAGCUCAGGAAU